rnacentral:rRNA from 1 species
GACGAACGCUGGCGGCGUGCUUAACACAUGCAGGUCGAACGGAAAGGCCCUGCUUUUGUGGGGUGCUCGAGUGGCGAACGGGUGAGUAACACGUGAGUAACCUGCCCUUGACUUUGGGAUAACUUCAGGAAACUGGGGCUAAUACCGGAUAGGAGCUCCUGCUGCAUGGUGGGGGUUGGAAAGUUUCGGCGGUUGUGGAUGGACUCGCGGCUUAUCAGCUUGUUGGUGGGGUAGUGGCUUACCAAGGCUUUGACGGGUAGCCGGCCUGAGAGGGUGACCGGCCACAUUGGGACUGAGAUACGGCCCAGACUCCUACGGGAGGCAGCAGUGGGGAAUAUUGCACAAUGGGCGGAAGCCUGAUGCAGCAACGCCGCGUGCGGGAUGACGGCCUUCGGGUUGUAAACCGCUUUCGCCUGUGACGAAGCGUGAGUGACGGUAAUGGGUAAAGAAGCACCGGCUAACUACGUG